rnacentral:rRNA from 1 species
GAUGAACGCUGGCGGCGUGCCUAAUACAUGCAAGUCGAGCGAACAGACGAGGAGCUUGCUCCUCUGACGUUAGCGGCGGACGGGUGAGUAACACGUGGAUAACCUACCUAUAAGACUGGGAUAACUUCGGGAAACCGGAGCUAAUACCGGAUAAUAUAUUGAACCGCAUGGUUCAAUAGUGAAAGACGGUUUUGCUGUCACUUAUAGAUGGAUACGCGCCGCAUUAGCUAGUUGGUAAGGUAACGGCUUAGCAAGGCAACGAUGCGUAGCCGACCUGAGAGGGUGAUCGGCCACACGGGAACUGAGACACGGUCCAGACUCCUACGGGAGGCAGCAGUAGGGAAUCUUCCGCAAUGGGCGAAAGCCUGACGGAGCAACGCCGCGUGAGUGAUGAAGGUCUUUGGAUCGUAAAACUCUGUUAUUAGGGAAGAACAAAUGUGUAAGUAACUAUGCACGUCUUGACGGUACCUAAUCAGAAAGCCACGGCUAACUACGUG